CAGGGGAGGCCGAUUAAUCAGCAACAGCGACACCGGAAACUCCCGCCUUUUUCAUAGAACCAGCCAAUCAGAAGACAGCUCUACAGAGAGUCCUACGAGUCUGCAAGAUGAUACCCGUCCGAGAUGGAUUUUAUUUCUACGUAAAGCAGAGGUCAAAAAGACUUUUGACUCGAACCCCGAGUAUGCAAGGGUUACUAUCUUGGUGUCGGUGGAGACUCUUUGACAUCUCAUUGAACCGUUUGAAAAGGAAAGCAAAGACCAGCUCAGACCAAAGGUUAAACGAGACUCAACCCCAACCAAUGACGCGAAGUUGGAGAGCGUGACGAAGCUGCAAUGAAACACAGACCGUGGAGUCUCUGACAUGAACCACUGCAGAUUUCUAUCUCCGUGUCUGACACAGCUCUGUCUGACUUCCUGAGAAAAGUUCUGAUACUGAUCUCACAACUGGCACGUGGUGGAAAAUCUCAGUCCAUUAAACAAUACUGAUUUAUAUAAUGAUAUCAAAAAUUAAAUAAAACAGAUUUAAAGUUUACAAGUUGCUAGGUGGUGAACAAAUGUCCGGAAAUCACACUGAUAUGAUGGGUUGGAGACAAAAGAUCUCAGACUUUUUUCUAUUGUGAAGAAGACACGUUUUCAAAUUAGCCGCCAACACCGCCACCUCCUGGUUAAUUUCUGUUACUACAUGCUCUAAGCGUUUUAGUGGACUGAUGUGGUCGUUCUGUAGUUUGACUUUUAAACAAACGAAAACCAAGAAAAUCUUUGUUAUUCUUGCUUGAAUGGCCCAAUGUUUUGACGUUUUUAACAGGUUCUUGUGGCAUUUUUCUGAUUAUGGAGGGCAUAUAAAAAGAAAAUUUGGCUCAGAAUUACAUUUCUGAGUAUUUUCCUUUUUCAAAUUAGGAGUAGAUGAAAAAAAAGCUGUUUAGAAUACAUUGUAAUUGUGAAAUAAAGCAUAUAUUUAAGAAUUUAUUCUCCUAAAUUGCUAUUUUUUCAUAUUCAAGCUAUUUUUUCCUCAUAUUUUUUAUGUUUUUCUCACAAUUUGAUGACAUUAUUUUCAAAUAUUUGUUUAUUUUUCUUAUUUUGCCCUAAUACUCCACCAUAAGCACAUAUCACAGGGAAUAACUUCUAGAACAUUUUAAGGUGGACCAUAUUUUCAGAGAUAAAACUGAGAGGCCUUAAUGAGUUUAUCAAAAGAAGAGAAGUUCAGGUACAUCUCAUUGUGCUUUGUUUUGGUCACUUUAAAUUAAAAAAAAAAA